rnacentral:rRNA from 1 species
UACGUAGGGGGCAAGCGUUGUCCGGAAUCAUUGGGCGUAAAGCGCGUGUAGGCGGCUCGAUAAGUCUGCUGUGAAAGUCCAGGGCUCAACCCUGGGAUGCCGGUGGAUACUGUCGAGCUCGAGUCCGGAAGAGGAGUGUGGAAUUCCUGGUGUAGCGGUGAAAUGCGCAGAUAUCAGGAAGAACACCUAUGGCGAAGGCAGCACUCUGGGACGGUACUGACGCUGAGACGCGAAAGCGUGGGGAGCGAACAGG